UUUCAUCUUCUAGGACAGUAACUUAGCUUUCAUCUUCUAGGACAGUAGCUUAGCUUUCAUCUUCUAGGACAGUAACUUAGCUUUCAUCUUCUAGGACAGUAACUUAGCUUUCAUCUUCAAGGACAGUAAUUUAGCUUUCAUCUUCUAGGACAGUAACUUAGCUUUCAUCUUCUAGGACAGUAACUUAGCUUUCAUCUUCUAGGACAGUAACUUAGUUUUCAGCCUCCUUACAUCCAGGGAGAUGUUUCAAUACUCUACAUUGGUUUACUUUCUUAGUUUCCUUUCUUUCACAAUCACCGAUUAAGGGACUGGAUAAGAUCCCUCUUAUAUCAUGCAGGAUCAGUCAUCAUGAAGGAAAGGAAUCCAUCUCAACGGAGGUAGAACCAGAGUGUUAGGAUGACACAGUACAACCCAGUCGUCAGAUGUCAUACCUACAAAGCCAACGAAGCACAAACACAUCUCCAACCACCACCCAUCUACCCGACAGACAAAUAAGGGCUGUGGACAUGGAUAAGAUUGCAUGGAAAAGAAGAGGAAGCAAGAGGAUGAAGAGGAAGCAAGAGGAUGAAAAGGAAGCAAGAGGAUGAAGAGGAAGAAAGAGGAUGAGGAGGAAGCAAGAGGAUGAAGAGGAUGAAGAGGAAGCAAGAGGAUGAAGAGGAAGCAAGAGGAUGAAGAGGAAGAAAGAGGAUGAAGAGGAAGAAAGCUGACUGGUAUCAUGAGCCUUCAAUGUCAACUCCUGCAGACAACAAUGUCUCCUGGCCUCCUCCUUAACCACACAUUAGAGAAUUAGUUACAGGUAGGUGAGUAAUCUGAAGGGCCCUGCUGUGGUGGCCCUUAGUGACAGAUAGGUCAGUCAUCCGAAGGGCCA